rnacentral:rRNA from 1 species
AGAGUUUGAUCCUGGCUCAGGACGAACUCUGGCGGCGUGCCUAAUACAUGCAAGUCGAGCGAGCUUGCCUAGAUGAUUUUAGUGCUUGCACUAAAUGAAACUAGAUACAAGCGAGCGGCGGACGGGUGAGUAACACGUGGGUAACCUGCCCAAGAGACUGGGAUAACACCUGGAAACAGAUGCUAAUACCGGAUAACAACACUAGACGCAUGUCUAGAGUUUGAAAGAUGGUUCUGCUAUCACUCUUGGAUGGACCUGCGGUGCAUUAGCUAGUUGGUAAGGUAACGGCUUACCAAGGCAAUGAUGCAUAGCCGAGUUGAGAGACUGAUCGGCCACAUUGGGACUGAGACACGGCCCAAACUCCUACGGGAGGCAGCAGUAGGGAAUCUUCCACAAUGGACGAAAGUCUGAUGGAGCAACGCCGCGUGAGUGAAGAAGGGUUUCGGCUCGUAAAGCUCUGUUGGUAGUGAAGAAAGAUAGAGGUAGUAACUGGCCUUUAUUUGACGGUAAUUACUUAGAAAGUCACGGCUAACUACGUGCCAGCAGCCGCGGUAAUACGUAGGUGGCAAGCGUUGUCCGGAUUUAUUGGGCGUAAAGCGAGUGCAGGCGGUUCAAUAAGUCUGAUGUGAAAGCCUUCGGCUCAACCGGAGAAUUGCAUCAGAAACUGUUGAACUUGAGUGCAGAAGAGGAGAGUGGAACUCCAUGUGUAGCGGUGGAAUGCGUAGAUAUAUGGAAGAACACCAGUGGCGAAGGCGGCUCUCUGGUCUGCAACUGACGCUGAGGCUCGAAAGCAUGGGUAGCGAACAGGAUUAGAUACCCUGGUAGUCCAUGCCGUAAAC